GUUAAAUUUAUUUUGAUCACAGGCUAAAUGCAUUUCUCUAGUUUAUAAUAUCCUGCUUGAGGGCAGCUGAUACUGGUGUCAGUGGAGGCCGGGCUCACACAGGAUUUAGUCCCUCUGCAGGGAAAGCAGUUUAUUCACAACGCCCCUGGGUUCAGAUGCAGGCCUGUGGGACAGUGGUAGGCUGCCACCACCUCUCUCCCACGGCCCUUGGAGAAUGUGUGUCCAUCCUGUGGGUGAGGGGUACACUGUGCACCCACUCUUCAAAGGUGCUGAUGAAAGUCAGAGACCCAGGAUCUGGACCUUUCUCUACAAUUGGUACAAAACCUCAGAAGUGCCCUUUAACACUGCACAGCACUAACUUGUAAGAACAGAGGUCUAGAGCCAUCUGCAGACCUACAGCAGGAAGCGCCUGAGAGGCACAGUAGUGUUAAUAUUGAGCGUAGUCUGAAUAUACCUCCGACAGUGGGCACCUGUGCAGCAGCUGCCCAGUCCUCCUGCCCAGCCAACUGUACCUUGCCUUGGACAUGGAUCUUCUAGGACAUGUAAGGUUUUUAAUCUUCCCAUAAAGGAACAAACUCUGGAGCCAUACAGACAGGUCCAUUCUUAACUCAUAGAUAUCCUUUAUGUAUAGUAAGAUCAUCCUGGGAAAUUAAGUCACCAAGGAUACUCACUUUCUUCUCUUUUGAGCUCUGGUUUUAUAUAAUGUGCACUGAAAUUUACAAGGUGAAAUGCUUACACGCCACAUUCCUAAUUAGGCCAGGUUUUCUAGAUUUAACCCUAAAAGAUAAAUACAGAGCAUCUACACUGAAGAGCACAAUUGCAUUGGUGUAUUUAAAAACUAUUGUAUGCUUACCAAGUUCAUUUGUAAGCAUAUAUUGUAUAAUGUAUUUCCUGGUGUUUUGAGGUGGGCUCUCAUGUAGCCCAGGCUGACCUCGAACUCAGAAUAGUCAAAGAAGACCUUCAAUUCCCACGCUCCUGCCUCGGCCUUCCAAGUGCUGGGAUUAUAGUAAUAUGCUACUCCCAUACUCAAGGUAGUAGAAUGCUGGGAUUGUUUAAGUUCCAGUCUCUGUCUUCUCCAUCUACACUGGGUCCUGCUAGGGUGCCCCAAAUUCCAAUUAGAUUUCUCUAUGGCCAUCUGAAAGAUAAUUAGGCAUUUAAUGUAUUUCUCUUUUUUAAAUUAAUUUAUGUGAGUACACUGUUCCUCUCUUCAUCUACACCAAUAGAGGGCAUCGGAUCCCAUUAGAGAUGGUUGUGAGCCACCAUGUGGUUGCUGGGAAUUGAACUCAGGACCUCUGGAAGAGCUCUAACUGCUGAGUCAUCUCUCCAGCCCCCAAGUUUAAUGUAUUUCUACUAAGUAAUCUGCUCAGCAUUGAGUCUGGGAUUAACUGUUUGUAUUAAAUAACAGGCAUGGGGUUUUUAAGUCUUAUUCGUAGGACUAAGAAGACUGCUGAUGUCCAUCUUAGAGGCCAGAGAGGGACAGAACUAGAACUACACCAGGUACAGGCUUCCUGCCUGACAGCCCCAGCCCAGCUGGUUUGUUUUAUACUCACAACAGCUGACCUCACUUAGUGCAAAGAGUGCAAAGAGACUUAGUGCAAAUUCUUUUAAGGGAAUGCUACAAACCUGUGGGGGAAAAGCCUAAAUAACUAGGAGAGGGGCCACACAGGUCUUAAAGUGGUGCUACAGAAGGGAAAAGCCACAAAGCUAUUUCCUGACUUUAAAAUAAAGUAUGUAUUGUUUAGUUCAGUAAUUCAAAAGGACAUGCAAUAGCCGGGCAGUGGUGGCGCACACCUUUAAUCCCAGCACUUGGGAGGCAGAGACCCUUUCAUUGCAAAUUACUGCUUGAUCAUGUGAAUAUCAUUGUUAAAUCUCUUACAUAGGAAAGAUUGCGAGCUCAUUAACAGUUGGACAAGCUCCAGCCCUGAGCUGCUUCUGCAGCAGUGUAGUGACCAGCAGCUGAGUGUUUACUUCAGGCAGAGCCUUCACAAGUCACCUUGAGGAAGCCAGGCUGGUGGCUGGCACAUGCUCAGGCCUGUAAUCCCAACACUAGGAAGGCUGAGGCAGGUGGACUGCUGCGAGUUAAAACCAGGAUAUAUAGAGUGAGACCCUGCCUCCUACAACCAAAUAUACAGAGUAAAGAGUAAAUCUGGAGGGAUACUUUGCUGAACUUAGUGCUUUAAAAUGGGAAAGAGUUGGGAUGCUGAUUUUAAAAAAAUCUAAAAUAAUGCAUUUGUGAAUAUUAAUUUUUGCAACGAUCUGCCCCCUCAUUUCCCUACACUUACUACAAAAGCUAAGAUUGGCCAGAGUGGACAGCCAGGGAUUAGCCAGGUGAUCAGCUCCAUGACAAGCCAUCUCAAAAGAAGAAUGCACAGGUGCAGUGGCUCUGUGGAUCACUGCUUCUGCUUUUAAAGUGACAGGGAAGCUGGGUGUGGUUGCACACGCUUUUAGUCCCAGCACUCAGAAGACAGAGAUAGGUGGAUCUCUUAAUUUGAGGCCAGCCUGUCUACAAAGAGUUUCAGGACUGCCAGGGCUGUUACAUAGAGAAACCCUGUCUCAAAAUAAAUAAAUACAUAAAUAGAUAAAGUGACAGAGAGCAGGGCAUUUGAAGACUUUUCUAGGUAAUUAACACUGUUCAGAGUAUAAAGUCCCUACAGUGAAUUAGAUCUAGUUUUAAAAUAAAAAUGGCUACAUAAAACUGAUAGUUUUUCUUUUUCUUUUUUCCUUUUUUUCUCCCCAAUUAACAGUCUUUCACCUUAGGUACAUGGACCAAACCAAAGAGAACCUUCCCUUACUUCCCACCAAUAGUACCAAAGUAACUUUCCUGUUCCCGAGUCCUCUCAGAAGCAGAAAGGCUAGUGCAGCAGCUGUCAGGAACAAAGGCACAGGCAGAGGGAAAACAGCUGAGCGGGACAGUCUGCCGCUGGCCGGCUGGAGUCACGGAAUCCUGUCCCUCCCCACACAGGGGAUGUUCCGAUCACC
rnacentral:lncRNA from 1 species